CCUACGGGAGGCAGCAGUGGGGAAUAUUGGGCAAUGGGCGCAAGCCUGACCCAGCAACGCCGCGUGAAGGAAGAAGGCUUUCGGGUUGUAAACUUCUUUUCUCAGGGACGAAGCAAGUGACGGUACCUGAGGAAUAAGCCACGGCUAACUACGUGCCAGCGGCCGCGGUAAUACGUAGGUGGCAAGCGUUAUCCGGAUUUACUGGGUGUAAGGGGCGUGUAGGCGGGAAAGCAAGUCAGAUGUGAAAACCAGGGGCUCAACCUUUGGCCUGCAUUUGAAACUGUUUUUCUUGAGUACUGGAGAGGCAGACGGAAUUCCUAGUGUAGCGGUGAAAUGCGUAGAUAUUAGGAGGAACACCAGUGGCGAAGGCGGUCUGCUGGACAGCAACUGACGCUGAGGCGCGAAAGCGUGGGGAGCAAACAGGAUUAGAUACCCCGGUAGUC
rnacentral:rRNA from 1 species